GUGGGGAACCUACCUUCUAGCGGGGGAUAACACAUCCCAAUGUGUGCUAAUACCGCAUAAUAGUAUUUGAUGCAUAUCAGAUAUUUGAAAGGCGCAAUUGCGUCACUAGAAGAUGGCCCCGCGGUGCAUUAGCUAGUUGGUGAGGUAAUGGCUCACCAAGGCAAUGAUGCAUAGCCGACCUGAGAGGGUGAUCGGCCACACUGGGACUGAGACACGGCCCAGACUCCUACGGGAGGCAGCAGUAGGGAAUCUUCGGCAAUGGACGCAAGUCUGACCGAGCAACGCCGCGUGAGUGAAGAAGGUUUUCGGAUCGUAAAACUCUGUUGUAAGAGAAGAACGUUGAUGAGAGUGGAAAGUUCAUCAAGUGACGGUAUCUUACCAGAAAGCCACGGCUAACUACGUGCCAGCAGCCGCGGUAAUACGUAGGUGGCAAGCGUUGUCCGGAUUUAUUGGGCGUAAAGCGAGCGCAGGCGGUUGAUUAAGUCUGAUGUGAAAGCCCCCGGCUCAACCGGGGAGGGUCAUUGGAAACUGGUCAACUUGAGUGCAAAAGAGGAGAGUGGAAUUCCAUGUGUAGCGGUGAAAUGCGUAGAUAUAUGGAGGAACACCAGUGGCGAAGGCGGCUCUCUGGUCUGUAACUG
rnacentral:rRNA from 1 species